rnacentral:tRNA from 1 species
CCCCUGGUAUCUCAGCUGGUAAAGAUUCUGCCUGCAAUGCAGGAGACCUGGUUCGAUCCCAGGUUUGGGAC